CUCGAGCGAGUGGCGAACGGGUGAGUAACGCGUGAGGAACCUGCCUCAAAGAGGGGGACAACAGUUGGAAACGACUGCUAAUACCGCAUAAGCCCACGACCCGGCAUCGGGUAGAGGGAAAAGGAGCAAUCCGCUUUGAGAUGGCCUCGCGUCCGAUUAGCUAGUUGGUGAGGUAACGGCCCACCAAGGCGACGAUCGGUAGCCGGACUGAGAGGUUGAACGGCCACAUUGGGACUGAGACACGGCCCAGACUCCUACGGGAGGCAGCAGUGGGGAAUAUUGCACAAUGGGGGAAACCCUGAUGCAGCGACGCCGCGUGGAGGAAGAAGGUCUUCGGAUUGUAAACUCCUGUUGUUGGGGAAGAUAAUGACGGUACCCAACAAGGAAGUGACGGCUAACUACGUGCCAGCAGCCGCGGUAAAACGUAGGUCACAAGCGUUGUCCGGAAUUACUGGGUGUAAAGGGAGCGCAGGCGGGAAGACAAGUUGGAAGUGAAAUCUAUGGGCUCAACCCAUAAACUGCUUUCAAAACUGUUUUUCUUGAGUAGUGCAGAGGUAGGCGGAAUUCCCGGUGUAGCGGUGGAAUGCGUAGAUAUCGGGAGGAACACCAGUGGCGAAGGCGGCCUACUGGGCACCAAC
rnacentral:rRNA from 1 species